UGGAUUGGGAUUUGGAGAAACAAACAAAUUCACAAGUCUGACAGCAAGAUGCGAUAUGAAAUUUGGAGAGAAACAAUCUUAGAAGAAAGCAGCAGUUUUUGUAGCCAAUCCAAUCCAAUCCAGUCAAACAAUCAUUUCAAAAUCCCAACCAGCCAAUCAAAAUAGCCCCAAUCCCAUGAAUCUGAAUGAGAUGAUAAACUUCUUAUCAGAAACAAGAGUUGGAGAAUCACCCUGAACAAAAAAUUCCACUGGAUGCAUGGACCCAAGCUUAUUAGUGGAACCGUAAGUGGCUAGGAAGUGAUACAGAGUAGUAGCUGCAAUAGUGGCAAAUCAUAUAGCCAUGACCUCCAUUCUUCGCCUUCACAAGUCAAGAUUCAAGGAAAGAGGACCUUGCUUUCCAGGAGGAUGACGAUGAGGAGGCAUUGGUAGCUACAGCGGCAGGGCCUGCAUUGGCGGCGCUGGCGCCGUCCUCUGCUGGCUCGCUGUCGAAGAAGCGCCCCAGGUCCUCCUCCUCAAACCCUAUCGAGGCUGUGCCUGCUCCCUGCUGCGGCAGGCUCAUGUUUGCAGGUUCGCUAGUGCCUUCAGAGGGAGAAGGGGGGAGGGGGAUCACGGGAAAGAUGAGAGAGGACAGUGAGAC
rnacentral:lncRNA from 1 species